GCUGCAACUGUUUAUUAAAAACACAGCACUGUGCAAAAUCGUAAGAUGACGUAUACGGUGUGACGCCUGCCCGGUGCCGGAAGGUUAAUUGAUGGGGUUAGACUUCGGUCGAAGCUCUUGAUCGAAGCCCCGGUAAACGGCGGCCGUAACUAUAACGGUCCUAAGGUAGCGAAAUUCCUUGUCGGGUAAGUUCCGACCUGCACGAAUGGCGUAAUGAUGGCCACGCUGUCUCCACCCGAGACUCAGUGAAAUUGAAAUCGCUGUGAAGAUGCAGUGUACCCGCGGCUAGACGGAAAGACCCCGUGAACCUUUACUACAGCUUGGCACUGAACAUUGACCCUACAUGUGUAGGAUAGGUGGGAGGCUUUGAAGCACGUACGCCAGUAUGUGUGGAGCCGUCCUUGAAAUACCACCCUUGUAGUGUUGAUGUUCUAACGUCGACCCCUAAUCGGGGUUGCGGACAGUGCCUGGUGGGUAGUUUGACUGGGGCGGUCUCCUCCCAAAGAGUAACGGAGGAGCACGAAGGUGGGCUAAUCACGGUUGGACAUCGUGAGGUUAGUGCAAUGGCAUAAGCCCGCUUGACUGCGAGAAUGACAAUUCGAGCAGGUGCGAAAGCAGGUCAUAGUGAUCCGGUGGUUCUGAAUGGAAGGGCCAUCGCUCAACGGAUAAAAGGUACUCCGGGGAUAACAGGCUGAUACCGCCCAAGAGUUCAUAUCGACGGCGGUGUUUGGCACCUCGAUGUCGGCUCAUCACAUCCUGGGGCUGAAGUCGGUCCCAAGGGUAUGGCUGUUCGCCAUUUAAAGUGGUACGCGAGCUGGGUUUAGAACGUCGUGAGACAGUUCGGUCCCUAUCUGCCGUGGGCGUUGGAAGAUUGAAGGGGGCUGCUCCUAGUACGAGAGGACCGGAGUGGACGAACCUCUGGUGUUCGGGUUGUGUCGCCAGACGCAUUGCCCGGUAGCUAAGUUCGGAAUCGAUAACCGCUGAAAGCAUCUAAGCGGGAAGCGAGCCCUGAGAUGAGUCUUCCCUGAUACUUUAAGUAUCCUAAAGGGUUGUCGGAGACUACGACGUUGAUAGGUCAGGUGUGUAAGUGCUGUGAGGCAUUGAGCUAACUGAUACUAAUUGCCCGUGAGGCUUAACCAU
rnacentral:rRNA from 1 species